ACCUUUUAAUAUCUUGCUGUUAGAGUGGCCGCACGGCUCUUCCCAUGUCUGUCUAGGCACCAGGACCUCCGGGGACAGCUGCUGAAUGUGCUUUUGCGAUGGGAGUCCCUGGGUGAUGGCCUUGCGGUUCUCCUUAUUUCCUGUCAUACAGAGCUGCCCUCUGGCUGUGCCCACAGGAUGCAUUUUGGCAUUUCCCUUGGCUUGGUGCUGCUUGCUUUCUAGCUGUCUGAUCCUACCGGGUCUUGCCUUGUUUGUGCCUCUCAUUUGGGUUAAAAAUUGGGCACACAGGUCCUAGAGGCAUAAAGAUGAGGAGCUUCCAGGGCCAAGAUUAACACCCCUCCUGCAGGAGGAAGACAGCCACCAGCGGCUGCUCAUGGGGCUGAUGGUGUCUGAGCUAAAAGACCAUUUUUUGAGACACCUACAGGGUGUAGAAAAGAAGAAAAUUGAACAGAUGGUUCUGGACUACAUUUCAAAACUGCUGGAUCUCAUUUGCCACAUCGUAGAAACCAAUUGGAGGAAACAUAAUCUUCAUUCCUGGGUUCU
rnacentral:lncRNA from 1 species